AGAUCACUCUCUUUGUUAAUGGAGAGUUUGAUCCUGGCUCAGAGCGAACGCUGGCGGCGUGGAUGAGGCAUGCAAGUCGAGCGAAACACUUGGCCUGAAGUUCUUGAAGCCGCAAGGCAGAUGGGAUGGAUGGCUGUGUGUUUAGCGGCAAACGGGUGCGUAACGCGUGGGUAAUUUGCCCUCGAGCGGGGGAUAACACUCCGAAAGGGGUGCUAAUACCGCAUAAGCCCACGGCCUCUUUUGGAGGCCGAGGGAAAAGCCGGGGACCGUAAGGCCUGGCACUUGAGGAUGAGCCUGCGUCCUAUCAGCUAGUUGGUAGGGUAAUGGCCUACCAAGGCAUUUGACGGGUAGCUGGCCUGAGAGGGUGGUCAGCCACACUGGGACUGAGACACUGCCCAGACUCCUACGGGAGGCUGCAGUCGAGGAUAUUUUUCAAUGGGCGAAAGCCUGAAAAUGCGACGCCGCGUGCGGGAUGAAGGCCUUCGGGUCGUAAACCGCUGUCAGGUCGGACGAAUACCUGUUUCGUGAAUAACGGAAUCGGUUGACGGUACGACUAAAGGAAGCCACGGCCAACUCCGUGCCAGCAGCCGCGGUAAUACGGAGGUGGCAAGCGUUGCUCGGAUUCAUUGGGUGUAAAGGGUCGGUAGGCGGUCCAGUAAGGGCCCGGUGAAAUCCCGCAGCUUAACUGCGGAACGUUCGGGUAGACUGUUGGACUUGAGGGCUGGAGAGGCAAGCGGAAUUCCCGGUGUAAGGGGGAAAUCUGGAGAUAUCGGGAGGAACACCAGUGGCGAAGGCGGCUUGCUGGACAGCACCUGACGCUGAGCGACGAAAGCGUGGGGAGCAAACAGGAUUAGAUACCCUGGUAGUCCACGCUGUAAACGUUGAGGACUAGGUGUCGGCUCAAUGAGAGUCGGCGCCGCAGGUAACCCAUUAAGUCCUCCACCUGGGGAGUACGUUCGCAAGAAUGAAACUCAAAGGAAUUGACGGGGGCCCGCACAAGCGGUGGAACAUGUGGUUCAAUUCGACGCUACGCGUAGAACCUCACCCGGGUUUGACAUGCUAGAAGUACUGAACUGAAAGGGGAUGGACUCGUCAAGUCGAGAGCUAGCACAGGUGGUGCAUGGCUGUCGUCAGCUCGUGCUGUGAAGGAGCGCAACCCACGUCUGCUGUUGCCACCGGAAGCCGUAAGGUUUCCGAGCACUCUGCAGAGACUGCCGGUGAUAAACUGGAGGAAGGUGUGGAUGACGUCAAGUCAGUACGCUCCUUAUAUCCGGGGCUACACACGUGUUACAAUGGCACAUACAAAGGGGUAUGCCAACCCGUGAGGGGGAGCGAAUCCCAAAAAGUGUGCCCCAGUUCAGAUUGAAGGCUGCAAUUCGCCUUCAUGAAGACGGAAUCGCUAGUAACGGCGGAUCAGCUACGCCGCCGUGAAUACGUUCCCGGGC
rnacentral:rRNA from 1 species